GGACAGCAGGUGCAAAGGUCCUGGGGCUGGAAACCGUGUGGUGCACUUGAAGCCGGGGCAGGCGCGUCUGCACAGCUGAUGGGUAGAUGCCUCUCCUCUUCCUCCCGCAGACCCUGUAGGCAGUAGAGACUGGGGGGGGGGAGAGGGGCUCCCCACAGGCGCCCUAACCCACAUUCCCUGUGUUGUAGAGAGAAGCAUCCUGUACACAGAACUCCUGGCCAGGCUCCAUUUCUUCUCCACCUCGCACCCAGCGCUGGUGGGACAGCUGUGCCAUCAGGCCCAGAGCUGGUUCCGGGCGUGCCCACACCCCGUGCUGGUGCCCCUGGCAGGGUUCCUGCAGCCCCCAGGAGGUCCCCUCCGCGCCACCCUCACCGGCUGUCACAAAGGCAUCACCGCCCUGGCGUGGAGCCCGGAUGAGGAGCUGCUGGUGGUCGGCACCCAGGACGGCACUGUGGUCGUGUGGGACACGGAGGAGCAGCAAGUGGUGCACUUCCUAAGCGGACACUCGGGAGAGGUGAGGGGCUUGCGGGUGUUCUGCGCGGGCCGGAGCGCCGUGUCCGCCUCCAGCGACCGCACGCUGCGCCUGUGGGAUCUGCGCCGUGGCUGGGAGAAGUCCACGUUUCAGGAGGGAAGCCCACCGGCCCCAGCACCCUGCGCCUGGAGCCUGCACGUGGACGAAGCCGGCGGGGUCCUGUACUCGGCCCCCGGC